CAGAACUCUACAUCUCUCUCUGCAACGUGCCCAAACCACAGACUCUCAGCAGCAGGAAGCCCACGUGCAUGGUAAACUGAGACCCAUCCCCCAUCCCUCUAGUAAACCUCCUUAACGGCCAUAGGGGUCUGCGACAACCAGGGAGAGAGAUGCCUGCCAAACUUGCCUGGGAUUCUCUCCCUGCUGGGUUCCUGCCCCAUCAGAUAGCUGAGGCUAUCUCACUCAUUUCUGCGAACAUGGUGCUAAGUGGACUUCAAAGAGGCAUCUGCGGGUAAAUUUUGCUCCCGAUCCUGUGAAAGCAGCUUGGGCACAGAGCUUACUGUAGAGUACAGGCUGCUGUGUGUUAAAUUAGACGUGCCUCCAGUCAAGACGUGGCUCUUCCACCUUAUCCACGGAUACAGCAUCUUUCGGUCAAACCGUGAAACCACUAAAACGGAGUCUUGCUGUCAUUCUUAUUUUGGAGAUCCUCGCUCUGAGACUGGGAGGACAGGCAUUGGAAGCGACUGCAGGCAUUAGCCCCUGACUGUGGUUAUUGGGGGAUGUAGGCAAACUUGAGAAUCAAUAUGGAAAGACGGACAUCGUGCCAUUAGCUCCUUCUACAGCUUUAUAAACCAUCUCAAAUUCAGAAGGAUUUGCGACCCCAAUAUGGCUUCCAAUUCAGAUUCCCAGCUAUAGGAUGAAAUGCCCACAAGGACAGAGAGCCGGAAUCGAGUCGUGGUGUGGAGAGAGCCCUGGGCUGCUCCAGCUUCAUCCUUUUUUUCGUCUGGAUUUGGUGUGAACUUCCUUUGCCAUUUUUCUAUUCUCUCCUUGUCAAAAGACAACAGUGAGAGGAAGCAGAAAACUCAAUUUCUGACCUUGUCUCUCUUCAGUCUAAACAAGAAAAUGUCUUAUUAAAAAAAAGAGAGAGAGAGGGAGAUGAUAUUUAAUUUUAUUGGGGAGAAGGAUCGUUGCAGGAGAGUGCUCGCGGCUAAAUGAGGCCAUCAAGAGACCAGAGCAUGCACAAAUAUGAAGUAAUAUCUCUCUACUCUGAGAGAAGCUGACACCCAAUUUCCUAAGCUUCAGGCAGGCAGCUCCAAGGCUGGAGGUAUCACAGCCUCCUUCUCCGAACCAUUUCUAAGGCUUCAACUCUGCUGCGAAAGCUAAAAAUGCAAAUGAAAUGGGGCCAUUUACAGAAAAACUAUCCCCGCUAACUGUGCUUCAGGAAAGAAAAAAAAAUCUACAGCUCCGAGGGCAAUCUUAGUCAAUGGGACUCACAGGCGAGACGGCGCUUUAGUCUGACAGAUAAUGUGCGCAGCACUUCUCCCUCGUGAGCUUAGAAGUAUUUAAAGAAAAAGGAAAAUCACCCUGUUAGAUUCAUUACUCUUCUGAAAAAAACUAUCUCGUUUUGCCUUCACUUCUGAUCUGACGAAGCGUUCUUCUAAAUGGGUGUUGCUGACAAUGUGCAAAGGUGCCUGGGUGCUUGGGGAGAGAAUGAAACUCUGCCUGUUCUUCUAGGAAAAGCCUUGCUUCUGUGGUCCUAGGUCCUAGGAGUCGGAUGCAAUUAGUUUUUGGGAAAGUGAGGUCAAGCGGGUAUGUCCUGAAGGAGACCACCUGACCCGCAUGGCUUUCCCUAGAGCCUGUGGGCUCCCAGACUCCACCAGUCCAUCGUUUCCUUGUGGGUUUCCUUGGGCAGCCUCCUUCUCCUGUUCUCUAGACCAGCUUUCUCAGCCUUUUCUCUCCUCCCCUUGCAUGCCUGGCUCUCACUAGUAAGCAUUUGCAGUAGUUUCCUUCUUUGCAGAGGACAUAGAAGCCAAGAGUGGGAUACCCUCUCCCCUUAACUCAUGGCUAUAAAACUUAACAAAUGGUCUCUGUGUCUCCAUGCGUCUUCUUCCCUUUCACUCAUCUUACCCAAGUGCCAGCUCUGCCCUGUUCAUCCAUUCCUCCACUUGUCCUCUGGAGUUUCCCUUCGCAGUUCCUUUAGAAGCUUGCUUGAUCGAUUCCUGUCCCCCACUUCCCUCCCUAUUGCUGUCUCUUACCCAGCCUCCUCUUCUCAAUUAUCUCUCUCUUUUUUUAUGAGCUUCAUUUUUUCUCUCUCAGAUUCUUCCUGACAGAACUUGGCUGUGCUAUAGCUUCUGUCUUCUCUCUGAAGCCUCUCUGGUUCUUAGCUCCCCUCAGCUGCACAUCUACACCAGUUUCCCAGUUUCCAUUCUUUCUCUGCUUAAAUGACCCUCAGCCCGCCACCAGUGAGGUUCCUGCUCUAAGGACAUAUUGUAAGCCAUACUGAAAAUUCUUUUUCCUUGGGUUUUCAUAGCCAUAGGCCGUGUCUUCAUCCCUCUUGAGGCUCCUGGGCAGCACCUCUGACUCUGCUCACUCCUGGAUUCUGGAUGGGCUCUGUCUGUCUGGUCUUACCUGGGCUUCUUCUCAGGUCAUCCCCAGAGUCCUAUGACUUACUUGUCUGCAAAGGCCCACAAGGAUCAUGUGGGCAGGUAGUAGAGUCCAUCAUGGGGAGCAGUUGAAAACAAAGUUGGCCAGCCAUAGUAGUGAAGAAGACUGAAACUGAGAAGUUAGCAAGACCUUGUCUCGGAGAGGUUGACAGUAGGCCAACAGUACUGAGUCUAGACUGUCGGGAUCAGCAAGAGCGAGUCCAGAGCUUUCCCCCUGCUAUAAAAUGAAAGAUGGCUGCCCCCAACCCCACAACUGGAUUCUACAUCUAUAGCUAUAGGAUCCGAUGGUGCCUAUGCUGUUGUUCCUGGCUGCAUCACGACAUCGCCAGGCUCUCCAGAAGCAGUGCUGCGUGAUUCUAUUCCUAACAAGAACGCACACUCUCACAGUGAACUGCUGACCUACUGUGUGACAGUUCCCCAUCACUGACACCAGCUCCCCGUAAACCCAUUAUUCCUCUGCCAGGUGGGGACAGGCAGGCAAGGGGAACUUACACAGGUGGAUGCUGACCACCAAGGUGGGCUGACAGCUGCUCUCAGUGCUGCAGCCUCACCCCGAUGCCUGCAGGGGUAGGCGCCGACUAGAGCUGGAGAGAAACAACACGUGAUGACCUAGUCUCAUCCCUCCGAGAGCCCACAGUUAAUGGAUCAGCUGACCGUUACUCUUUGAUCAGGGACUGAUUUGAAGCUAGCAUUGGUGAUGUGAAAGCUGCCUAAAUUUGAAGAAUCCAUCACAGACCACAGAACACUCCUGGGCGAGAUGCUUCCCUAGUCUUCUCGAGACUUCUGGGCCUUUGUAUGAGUGCUUCAUACAAUGUUUGUACAUAGUGGAUGUAAAAUGACUAUUUCCAGGAUAACAGCAAAGGGUCAUCGCCUAAAUGCCUAUAUUCUUCAUAUUUGAAUUCAAGCCAGGCUUUUCCUCUGUCUGGGCACAAUAGGCUCCAACACCAAGACUCAGAGAAAUAAGUCUCCAGGACAUUUGCUUUGGAAUUAUCUGGUUCUCCAAAACUAUGACUUAUUUUACGUCUUUUUUUUUUCAGAAUAUCUGAAAUAUUGUAGCCUUCGGUAUUGGUUUAUUUAACUAGGAAUACAUUGUUUUUAACUUCCCAUGAGGCAGCCAUCAAGAAGGUGAGGCUUCGGUGAAAACAAAGCACAGUGCAAUCAGACUACACAUUUGCUAUGUAAGAAUUUGAAGACUACCAUGGUUUCUGAUGACUUUGUUUGGCCCCAGGCUCUGAAAAAGCCCCAGACGCUUCUGUUCUGAGGUGUUGGCCUUUUUAUAGCAAGGGAGUGAGGCAGAGUGGGGAGGAGGGUAUGAGGUGGAGACAGUGCAGGGUCCAGCACUUGACUCUUCCCAUCCUGGCUCCUCAGAUUGUAUCUGCACUCAGAAAUGCCUUGAAAGCAUUCUGAAGUCUCAGUCAUGCUGAUUGCAGUAUGACUCAAAACUCUGAAGGUAGGAUGCACACAUGUGGGGUGUGCAGCUCACAGAACAGAGCCCAGGCACCAGUGUUUCAUAUAGACCACACCUGUUUGUCCACAGAUGCAGAUUCAUGGCUGUGGAUGCAUUUGCCCUCCACAGGAGCAUUAUGAGGGUGGUCACGGACACUGCCAUUUACAGAACCAGAAACAUUAAAUGGCUGCAUCCAGCCUUAAACAUCUGGCUACCUUGUCAUCCUAGCGUCCUGUUCUCCAAGCCAGGGCUCUUUCCACAUAUUUGCAGAUUACCCAUUCAGGUUGGGGCAGCAGAAUACAUACUGGCCCAUGGAUGCACGUGGAGGCCCUAAAAACAAGGAGCUAGGGUUUCAGGACCCUCCAGAUAGGCUGCGAAGAUAGAGAAAGCCUGUCAAUGCUGCCAGUGGACAUAGACAUGGGCCUACGGCUUGCUGAGCGCCAUGUUAAUUCCAUUCCACCCUGGGAGAUUCAGCAGAGAAGCCCAAGGCUCUUCUAUCCACUUGGAGUUUGGGGAAAACUCAGAGCAAACGGGCGCAUAAAACAAACUUCCCUAGACUUGUCAGACAGGCGCCAUAAAAGGUUAAGAACUUAUGUGUCACAUAGAGGGAAGCCAUGCAGUGGGGAUCAUCCGGCAGUGGGCUUGUUUACAGCAUUUUCUUAUUUACUGCGGCUGUGCUCCCUAUUCGUCAGGCUGCAAUGGUAGUAGCUUUUAUGAGUAAGCAAAUUUUUAAUGAACUUGUUUCAGAUGUGUGCUCCAUUCUUGGAACGCUCUGUUCUCUGAGGCAGCUCUGUAAUUAUUGCCUUGAGUAGGAUAGCCAGACUCUAUCUGGUGUUUAUGUAAGCAAUUUCCUUUUUUCAGCUUUAAAUAAGUGAGGUGAGGGGGUGAAAAAAAAACCUCUACUGGUUACUGGUAGUUUUUGUUCAGCUUGUCAUAUGCUACUAGAAGCUAUGCAUUCAUUCUCUGUGUGUGCGUGUGUACACACACACACAUUCAAAGGGGCAUGUACAUGUGCUUGUAAACCCAUGUGGAGGCCAGAGGAUGAGUUUAGGUUUUCUUUUAUAGUUGCUGUCAAUCUCUCUCUCUCUCUCUCUCUCUCUCUCUCUCUCUCUCUCUCUCUUUCUCUCUUUCUCUCUCUCCCUCCCUCCCUUCUUUCCUUCCUGUCUUUCUUUCUUUCUUUUUUGGGGAUGGUGGGGUCGGGGGACAGACUGGCCUGUAGCUUGUCAAGCAGGCUAGGCUGACUGGUUAUCCAGUCUCAGGGUUCUGCUUGGCUCCAUCUCCCUCCCCCAAGUACAAACUGUGGUUUCCAGCACAUACCUCCACACUGACCUUUGUUUCAUUUUUACAUGGGAUCUUAAGAUUAAACUCAGUUCUUCAUGCUUGCAGGGCAAACGCACUUUUUUUUUGGCUGGGCUAUGUCACCAGCCCUUGUAUCUUCUAAUGUUUUCCUAAUAGCCCCCAUUUUACAGGUGAAGAGACUCCUGAGAGAAGUUAGCAGGCAGAAAGUGGUGGGGAUGUGAUCACACGCCCCUUGGACGCCUGGGUUCUGACUCUUCUGCAUGGAGCAGACUGGGAGGCCCGUUCAGGUUAUAUAGUCCUAAGGAGAGCUGUUGUUGGGAGGGUGGUGCAGUCAUUCCUGUUGGUGAGCUCUUUGCCAAGGGUUGCUUCAUGUGAGGGGCAGAGUCUUUAAUGCCUUUGGCACGAGGUAAUUAGAACCAAUUUUCUGGUCUUUCGCUUUUGUAAAGGGGAAUAGCAAGACGCAGGCCAAGCCUUUCACCAUGCUGUCUUAACGAACCAUUUCACCAUUGUUCCAAAGCUCAAAACUCAUUGUUUAAGGAGCCUCAGUUUUGCAAGCUAUUUGCUACUACCCUAUUCAAGCUGAGCCCUUCCCAGCCUGGACCCAGGCCUAUCCCUUCCACCCUCUCCUGCAUGCUGCACACAAGUAGAGACAGGGAUGAAAAGAUCUUCCUCUGUGCCAUCUGCAAUUGGAGGAAUGGAACAUCCAGCCUGCUUAAACUAGCUUCCAGCUCCUCCACCAGGCUGCUCUGUGGCUUUAGGCCAGUAACCCAACCUCUCUGAGUCUGUGUGGACUCAUUAGUGAAUGGGAAAUAGUAAUAAGAAAAACGUGUCCAGUAGCCUUAUUCUGGGGAUUAAUAAAAUGAGACAUGUAAAAUGGAGAGCUUCAUUAUUGCUCCAUCAGCUUUUAUUGAACCCCAGGUUUGAAUAUGGAGAGCUGCUAUCAAACUGUUCCUAGUAUUUUGUCUAAGUUUUAGCCAGUUUGCCAGGUACGCCGCAGACGGGCUACCUCCAGAAUGCUGCUUCUGACGGUGGAGUUAUUUUUGGAGAUUUUAUGGUUAUUUAUUUGUUCGAUUAUUGAUUCGUUUGCACUCACAUUUGCCACUGUGUGAGUCCGAGUGUGCAUUGUGCCAAGGAGCUGGCGUGGAGGUCUGAAGAUGACUUUCAGGAGAGGAUUCUCUUGCUUUCGUCUGUUUGCAUGCUCCAUUCUCCGUGCUAGUUGGUCAGGGAGGUCCCAGGCAACUCUCCUGUCUCAAUCUCCCCUGCCAUCUAUAAGUGCUGGUGUCACAGUGUGUGCCGCCUCCCGGGCCUCACAUUCUUCCUUGGUGCAUAAGCCUUUCUCACACCCAUGGCCUCUGGCUGGCACUGGGUCCCCAACGCUCCACAUGGGCUACUCUGACACACAGACCUUUACGCUUCGAUUAUGACAGAGCCAAGUCCAUUACAGAGAUGGGGACAUUUGCUCAGUUUGAACCAUAAAUGAGUUUGUUUCCCUCCAAUUAGUUGGAAAAUCAAACUUGAUCUACUCAGAGGGGCAGAUUUUUGGCCUCAGCUGAUACAUCAAUGCCUGACCUCUGUGCAAUAGAAGGGGAGCGCUCUCUAGAAAGGUCUGGGCUGUCUAAUAGCAAUGCCCUCUACUUGAGCCUAAGUCGGGUGGCCAAGGAUGAUUAGACAGCCCUUCUUGGGAGGUAAAGAUGUCACGAGAAGCCAGUAUAUAAGUCAGCUAUGGUGCCUGCUUAUCUGGGGCUCUCCUUUUUCCUCUGUGCAAAGCUAGGCUGUUCUAGUUGAACUUCAAGAAUGCUCCAGAUCACCAUGUCCUCAGGGUGGUGGCGGCUGUGGACUGCGCCCCACCCCCAUCCACAGGCCGUUCAUCUGUUCCAGCUUGUGGCCUGCCCUUGCUAGCCUGCCUGGCAAUGCUGUACUUUUUUUUCCCUCCCAUAUAUUUAUUUAUUCACUCUACAUCCCAAUAUCAGCCCUCCUCCUCUCGGUCCUUCCCCUUCCUCGAUUCCCCUGGGACAUCGCACAAUCCCUCUACCCUGUCUCCUGCCCUCUUAGGUCCCUCCCCUUCCCUGUUUUUCUUUCUUCCAUUUUCCUCCUUUGCACCCUCUCUGGCCUGUGUUCUCUCUAGGCUUUGGUGUCUCUCUUUUCUUCACCAUCGUAUCCCUGGCCUUCUUCCUUGCCUCCUUUUCUGCCUCUGAUACCAGUUUAUAAUAUCUUGAAAGAGCGUGUGGUAGCGUCUGCCUGACCCUGCCUGACGUGUGCACAGGAGCGACUCUCGGGCAGUGUUUGAUGUGGUCUGUGUGUGGCUGAUGAAAGCUUCUCAAGCUGUGUUGAUGGAGAGCUGGGUCCACAGCCUCCCUGGAACGGGGCUCUUUUCCUCUUUUCAUCAGAAACAAAUCCAAAUUACCAGAUAAAGCCAGGCCUUUUUCAUUUCUUCACCAUGCUCAUAGAUCCCUUGAUGUCUGUGAGAGGAGAAUCACAUCCUAGAAUCCUCCUCUCAAAAGAAAUCCUCCUUCCCAAAAAUCCUUAUGACAGGGACCUGAACCGGCAGAGGACAUACCUGUGACAGCCUGACCAAUCCGAAAUGAGACAUAUAGAUUUGAAUCUGUGUACAAUAAUGCGAAAUACGCAGACUCAGAAUCUGGCGAUAGAUCCCAGAGACCUAGACACUCUGUGAGUGUCUCUGCAAGAUACUACAAGGGGAAGGAGAUUCACUCUUCCUGCUGCUUCUGGUUCUGGAAGGAAUAUGGUUUAGGAUCCCUCUAGCACAGAGCACCCUGGAACCCAAUUGUACACCCUUCGCCAGCCAGGUCUCCUACAUCUGCUUCUGUUUCUCAGCCUAAGAAGACAAUGUAUCUCCUGUACUACAUGGCUGCUGGAAGGAGUGAUUGACAGAAUUAACUAUAGAGCUUCUUUCUAGUUCCGGCUGCCUGACUCUGAGAGUGUAAACUUUAGUUACGGGGACACCGCUUUGGCAAAAAGGUGGACUUUCAUGUUAGGACACACCUGAGCUUAAGUGCAGAUUUGGACAAUCUUGAAUUGAGUGUUCUCUAAUAAACUUUUAAGAUUUGUAUUUCUACCCCCAACAGCCUUGCUAGGAGAUAAUUUACAUCUUACAGAAUUCUGACAUUGUAAGAGUACGGUUCAAUGAUUUUUAGUAAAUGUAUGCUCCUGCCCCCACCACUGCUGAAUCCAAUUUUAGCUAUUUUCUUUCUCCAUAUUAAAACUGGAAUCACGAGACAGUUGGAUUGUGAAACUGAGCACAGUCUUGCAAGCCCCUGAAGUUCCCUCCAUACAGAUUGGAAUUGAUUUCCCUGGCCCUUGAACUCGGGGCUGGCCUGGUGACUCAUUCUUGCCAGUCAAGUGCUGGCUGUUAGUCUAGUGGGUUCCGAGCCCAGUUGUCUAGAGGUUAUGGGUGUUUCCACUGUCUGUGAAGCCCCAUUGUCUUCACUGUGAGUGUAAACUGGCCAGAUGCUGGAUUACAAACAGCAAUGUGAGCAUAGGCUGCCCAGAGUUAGGCCAUCUCAGGUUAGCUUCUUCCUCCUCUCCAGCUGAGCACCAUGGGAACACAUCCUCACAGUGAGCCCACAGGAAAGGUUAGAAGGUAGUUGCUUUAGUCUCUAACUUUUAGGAUGGUUUAUAAAAUGUCAUUAUGAUAAUAGCUGAUAAUGGAUCAUCGAUAGGACCGGGAUUUUGAAAAGCUGAGCGAACAUUUAGCACUCUUUUUCCCACAAGAGGCAUUCACAGUACCCAGAAAUGCAGUUUGAUGAACACUGUGGGUGCCUCCAAUGUGAGAAGCACUGUUUGGGCUUGCCAGGGAGUCAGAGUCGAAACAGAGAUUGAAUAAGCGAUUGGGUCAUUUGCACUGGGAAGAACAGGCACACAGACUGUAAUGCAGGAUAGCAAACUUCUAUAUGGGAAAUCUUUAUGUUGGAGUUGUUUUUCCAUUGUCUGAAAAUAGCCAUAUCCUUUCCUCAGCGUGACCCAAAAUGUGUUCCAGGGUUAUUGACCUCCCCACACACACAGCGUAUUGGCUAAGGUCUCAUAUUACCGGUUUGUUCAAACACUCGGUUAUUUAUAGGGAACUGAUAGUUUGGUCAAGUGCAGUGCUUCAAAGAUACAGAAAUGCAGACAGGACGCAGAUCCGUUGUUGGGGAGGAGCACGAAGUGGGGUGGGCAGACAUGUGGUGGGAAGUCUUAACUUCAGAACUGACUGCAAACCUUAAUUCAGAAGAUUUUGGAAGAACAGGGCAUUGUAUCUGAAUAUUUUAGAGCUGGGAGAAGAGGAGCAAGUAGUUGGUGACUGAGAGCCCCUGACAGCAGAAUUUUUGUGAUGGUUUUACCUUAUGCAAGUUCUUGUAACAAAUCUAUCUUCCUCAGGAAGCAAGCUUUCUGGAGGAGUCUAACUGCACCAUGCCAUGAUCUUGGGAGUCACCAGAUCUGCAGAGCCCUUGCCUUGUGUGACCAUAGAUAGAUGGACCGUCACCUUCCCUUGGUAGCCACUUGACCUUGGUUUGUAUCAAGUUGACUGUGGAAACUAACUUUAACACACACGGACUGAAACAGUACACCAGUUUUAAUUCAUUUUGGACUUCACUACGGCAGCUGGCACACAAGAUAAAAGACCAGAAAUAUUUUGGAUUACAGGGAAGUGGACUCUUUCAUUUUUCUAUGAUUGUUGUGUUUUGUUUCUAUUUGUCCGGAAGACCCAGGAGGAAGAAUCAUUGGUUAUUGGCUGCUGCUAUUAGGUUUUCAGUUGUGGGAUAUAGCUUGAUAUUUUAUUAAACAACAGCAAAACAGCAGCAACAGCAGCAGCAACAGCACCCAAAACCAUCAACUCAGUGACGAAUUAUGAGUCCAAGGGACCUGGCUUCACAUGAGUCAACUUGAGUUUUGCCUCUGUGUGAAGUUGGUAAAGUUACUUUGCUUCUCCAAGCCUCAGCUUUCUCAUCUAGAAGACAAGGAUGAGGAGGCCCAUUGGCCUCAUAGGGCAGUGUGCAGCUCUAAUGUGGGACUAGGUUUAAAGCUUCACUGUAGCGACUGGCCGUAGCGAAUGUGUCUGGAUUCAUUGCUGUAUGAUGGGUAGUGCUCUUUGGACAAAUUUCUUCUGUCUAUAAUAUUGGUUGGGUUUGAUACAUCUAAAACAGUGGUCCUCAAUGUGUGGGUUAUGACCUCAAAUUUUAGAUAUCCUUCAUAUUAGAUAGUUAUAUUACACAAUUCACAACAGUAGCAAAAUCACGGUAAUGAAGUAGUAACAAAAUAAUUUUACAGUUGAGGGGGUCACCACAACACGAGGAACCGUGUGAAAGGCUCGCAGCUUUAAGAAGGUUGAGAACCAACCUUUUAUCCCUACAGGAAUAAAAAGGAGAAAAAGGAGUUUGUUUGCCUCAGGUGUUGCACCAUGUCCAUCCAUCGAUUUGGUUCUGGUUCCGUGCGGUAUGCUCCUGAUGACGUUGUGGCCAAGCAUUUAUGCCUCUGUUAACAGUCGUUCAGGUAGCUGCUUUGGUGUGAAAACUGAAGAUUGAAGUUUAUAGAUUGAACCUCAAAUUACUCCUAGCAGCCCAAAUUGCUGGAUAGAAAUCUAAUCUCAUAAAUAUUGGGGAAAUAUUCCAAUUUCCAGAAGCUGGUAAUAAACCUCAAAGCUGAGAGUCAAGGUGGAAACCCCUUCUUUGGAAAUGUUCCAGAAAAGACAAGGUGUGGAUGGGGAAGCUUGCCAGAGGCUCAGAUCUUGGUAUUCCAACCAUCUUUUAUAUUGAAGUGGGAUAGAGUGGCAGCAGAAAUGUAGGUUUGGCUGUCCUUUUGGGCAUUUGGCAUAUCAGCUAAACACUUGGGUGAAUGGGUGCUGAGUGAAGGUGGGGAGCAGGUAAGUGAUGAUCCAAGCAGCCACUGCUUUUGUUAGUACCCUCAAAAAAGCAGCAGAGCGCAGCUCCAGAGAAACACCCAGAAAAGGGAGCAGCAUUUGUAACCUGUGUGGGUGUGGGGUGGAGGAAUUCACUGCUGACAAAGGAUGCUUUUCUUCCAGAAGCCGACUUUACCGUCUGUUGACAUGCGCUGCAUCCAAAUUGGAUGGACAGCCCUCUCUUAGAGAUGCUUUGAGUGAAACAUUCACUGCAGACCCUGGAAUUGUUCAAAAUAUUAAGAUAAACAUUGUUUCUUUGCAGCGAAUACAGACGGUGACAGAAAAACACAUAUAUAGAAACAUGAGGAAUGAUUGAAGUCUUUAAAAAUCCACCAAAGAGUACCAAUUAGGCCUUUGCUGCUCUAAUUCCAUGUUGUCAUUUUGAAACACAGUUCAGAAUGGCAUACAAACAAUUUAAUUCUCACUUUUUAAAUAUAACAAUUAAGCAAAAGCAUUUCCACAUGGUUUAAAAUGUUCAUAAACAAUAGGGAUGGCAUUAUAACAUCCUGUUUACUUCUGUACGUGGUUCUACUAAACCAUCGCAGCAUUGACACACCAGCGCUUCAGUGUGUCAGACACCAAUCUGUAAGAUUUAUAUUUGUAAGUUCAUCUGUUUCUCCAAAUCACAGUGUGAGGCUUGUGCUAUUGAUAAACUCAUUUACAGGGAGGACCCUGGAGGGUAGUCCGUUGCUAGAGGUCACUCAGCUGCCAAGUGACAGGGAUGAGAUUUGAACCAAUGCAGUUGGUGCUUCAAGGGCUUUUGGCAGGACUCUCCCACUAUUCAGGUGCUCUAUUCUCAUAGAUGGUCAGAAUACUCUUUCUUCUUUACAGAGAAUUUCCAUGAAGGAGGUCUCACUUCUUUGUUACAUUCAGGAGUUAGUGCCUUCAGCCCCGGUUGGCUCCUGGAGGAUGGUUACGGUGGCUACUGGUCACAUAAGACUCAGGAUUCUGGGGCCAAUACUGACAUGAAAGCUCCCACUGUAGGUAACAGAAUCAGCAUUAGAACCUCUUUCUGAUUGCUCUCUAGUCUUUUCCUUUCUAUUUUCACACACACACACACAACACACACACAACACACACACAAUACACACACACACACACACACACACACACACACACACACACACACACACACCAAAACAUCUUUCUAAUGAAGAAAGACAAUGAAAUCUUUUAAAAGGUCAGUGUCUAGACAGUGUCAUCGCUGGUAGAGAUGGGGACUUAUUAAUUAUAGCAGAUUAUCUUCUGCCCAUUUCCAUGUUUAUGGCUUGGCUUAGAAAGCCUUGGGUUUUUCCAGAAGCCUUUUAAGUGUCAAGAAGGCACAUCGUAUCCCUUUUGUAUUGGUCCUUAAGAGGAGGAUUCUGCAUCUGAAGGGUGAGGUGUAAGAGUGGCUCAUCUGUUUCUAGACUUCUCAGCAUAGAGGUACACUUUUUCCUGGGACUCUGCUCCUCUAAACUCAACCUUGACCUAACAGGAAAUACCCCUCCCACUCCUACUCCCUAAUGCUUCAUCGUGCUAAACCAUCCCCGACCUUAUCUCCAGGGGAAUUCUACUUUGACAGGCAAACUACUAGGUUUCCCUGGGGCCCAGAUAGAUUUCCAGGAGUAGACCUCUAGCAAUGAGUGAAAAGUAGAGGUGAGGAUACAGGUUCCCUAUAAAAGGUCUGAGACUCUAUCCCAGGGCGGUAGGAUAGAAGAACUGGGCGAGGAAAACCAGUUCACGCUGGUGGCUAACUGGAGGGCCUCACAUAAGAUUUCAAAACUUGGUUCUCAGUUGGUGUUGUAUGAGAGAGAGACGAUUAGAUUCGAAGGGCCUAAUCUCAUCAAUGAAUUAAUCUAUUGACAACUUCAUAGCUAAAUGACUAUUAGUGAGGGACACUAGUUGGGUGAAGUGGGUCGCUGAGGUGUGUCCCUUUAAAGGGCCUUCCUUGUUCCUAGCCCCUCAUGUAUUGCAUGUCUUGCUCUCUCAGACUAAACCACUGUAGGGUGAGUGGUUUUGUUUUAUCAAGUGUCCCUCAGAUGCUCAACCUCACUUUGUGCUCAGAAACAAUGUAAUAGACUGACAGAUUUCUGAAACCACGAGACAUACAAACCUUUCCCCCCCUUCAGUUGUUUUCCUUGGGCAUUUCGUCACAGUGAUGGAAACCUCGUUAGCACCAUGGCAGAAGAAUUCAAAUCACUUAGGGUACGUGAGUAAUACUGAGAGUCACAGGAACAGAAAGGCAGCUUUGUGGAAUGUUUACUGUGGGACUGUGAACCAGGCCGUUGAGAGUUUUACUGUCCUUUGAUCAAAAUAAGAUUCUCUGAAACAUGACAGAAGUUGGAAUCCUUUGAAUGUUGAUGUUGCAAUGGGGAUGAAGUUCUCAGAUGAAAUUAAGACAUAUAUUUCCCUGAACAUUAAAUUUGACUUCAUAGAUGUGUGUGGGAAUAGAGGGAUUUCUCUUUAUUGUACCAAUCCUGAGGCAGGUAAGGGUAGUGUUUGUGCAACUGCAGGGGUCAGUCAUUCAUGGAAUCUGUCAGACCUGAGAGAUUUACUUCUGUCCCACAUCUGUGUGCUACCCUAAUGAUCUCCUGCUGGCCUCCCUGGACCUGGUUUUCAUGUGUCCAGUUUGUGAUACUUCAGACAUGCAUGUCUGAGAGAAAGAUAAAGCCCUGCAUCUUGGCCAGCUUGGCCAAACAUAGCAACCCAUGAGCCAGGAAGUAAGAAUUUGAUAUUCCCCUUUCAAACUAGCUCCUAUGAAGAAGCAUGCACAUGCUGAGCUAGAGGCUCCCAGUGAAGAGUCACCAACAAAUAAACGGAAUAUCUGGAUGCAGGUGAGUCAGCUGCACAAGCAGAGCCAGGAACUCUGCAGGAAGGUGGUUAGCUCUGGUGAGAGCCCAUCAAUGGCCCAUAAAUACUCUUUCAGUAUCUGCAGCUUUCUGUGGCACACAGGCCUUUGUGGAACACUGUGGAUGCCACCAGAGCUAGGGUAAUACUUGUGGUCAUGUGAGGACAGAGGCACAGACAGCCACUGAGUGAGUUGAUGAAGUUUGGGCAACACAGUUUAUUCUAUUUCUGGGCUUCCUUUCCACACAGCUCAGGGAAAGCUGUCGUUAUUUCGCUGAGUGAGAUGAGGGAGAAGAAACAAGUUAAGUGUCAGCUGCACAGUGUAGUCUUGAAGAAGGUUGGCAGGAGCCAGCAGCCAUCCCAGCUGUACCAAUGACACUCCAGUUCUCCCAUUUGGAUUCAGGCUUCAGCAGAUAGACUGUUUGCCACGUGUCUGCCUUUCCUGGCUCAUGUUUCCCAACAGCCACAGAUAACUUGGAUGAAGUUAUUAGUGGAUCUGAUUGUCUACCUUCAACAUCAUACAUAAACAUGCAUGCUUAUCUGUGUGGCUUUCUGGCCACCACUGAGAAUAGGUAGUGAGAAGGUCGUUAUUAUCUAGCCAAAUAUGUCUUUCUGAAGCUAUGUGGCUUCUUGACUUGGGUCUGUUGGCAUGAAUUCCUCACAGGCUUUCAGAUGUGUCAAUUUUAGCAUGGAAUUCUUGGCGGAUUUGUCAGGCAGUGAAUAAAUCAGAGGUCCAUACCCUGACUAUUAAGGAGAAUAGGAGGCUAAUUACCAAGAUUUCAAGCUCAUUAACAAAGCCAAAAGCCACAGAAUCUGAGGUAAAGGGCACACACACUCGCUGUUAGGGGGACCUUAUUGGUGGGAGGUGAACUUUGCUCCAAGGACUUGGUAGCAUGUUUUAAGACUGGGGCAGGGUCUGCAAACAUACACAUACAUCUCUACCAGGACUUUCAACUUCAGAGCAGGCUCCUUGGCACCUUGGCAUUAUCAUGGGGAUAUUGGGGUGCAAACCUGUCCUUGCAAAGGCCAUGCUUUUGGAAGACCGUGUGAAAACCCAACAGGUCCCUAUUUGGGAUGGGUAAUUAUGGAGGCCAGACUCACAGGACCUGAGGUAAGCUUUCCGUUAUCCCUUGCUUUCAUGUGCAUUUGAAGGAGAAACUGAAGUUGCAUAGCAACCAACACAUUUCUAGAUCAUGAGGGGCUCUCCAAGGCACCGAUGACAGAGACUGCCCAAUGGGAACUAGGUUGAGACAGGAGGAUGCCACUCUCCUGAAUGCUUAAGGCAGGUGCUGGACAUCUGUGUCUCUGCUGGAUCCCAUGUCUCCCAGAAGGUUCAAUCAGAAGCUAGGCUUUAAACCUCACCCCUGAGUCUCAGCAUAAUUACAGGGAGGGUGUGCUUUUAAGCCAGGGACAGGAGAAUGGCUUUUAAAGAGGGAAGGUGAGGUUUCUCAAUUUAGUUUACUUGAAAUUCCUCGUGAAGAGUUUCAGAUUCUAAAAUGGAGUGUAGCUGGCGUUUGCUUAAGUUUAGGGGAUGGUGUAGCUUUCUUGGUCUCUGAAAAAGAAUAAAAACUACCCCAGACUCCCACCAGCCAAUUUCAUAGCAACAUUUGCAGUGACGAGGAUGAAUCUGAGCCAGCGAUGGAACAUUUGUGGAAUGCAUGGGGGACUGGAAACCAAGCUGAGAAGUGUUCCUCAUUUGAGACUUUAGAAUACUGUUAGGGCCCUCCUUCCCCACCCCCACCGCCAGCAGUUGAUGGCUUGUGUACAGCUGCUGUUUGCUUGUCUCUGAAACAAUGAAUUCUGAGCCCACAAUGAAGCACACAUCCAGAGAAGCUUUACAUUCCUCUGAAAAGAAUACCUUUCCCUUCCUCCCUUUGUGAUGAAAGAAUCACGUAGGGGUUAGGCCAUGCGAUGUGGGAUUUUUGAUUUUAAAUCAUUUCUGACAUAGUUCUAAGAUAAAGGCUCCGGAGAAAGGGACCCUUGCAGUCAGUGAGACACAGCCUCACUGCCUGGCGGCAGCGCCAGAGAAAAAUCAGGAAGAAAGCUUUGGAAUCCUUCCAGUCUCUCCUUUUCUGUUUACAUGGUGGCUAUCGAUUCUCCAAAGAGGAUUCACACUCUGAGCAGCAAGGAGCUAUGUUUAUGUUAAUGCGAACACUCGAUACCUCCUCACUGAGAACAAUAAGGCCCAUCUAUCCACACACCUCCAUUUAACUGGACUGAUCACGGAGACGGGCCGGUGUGAGUACCUAGAACAGGAGAGCUUUGGAAGGGAACCAACUCAGAGUGCAAACUGAGAAACUGAGACUUGGGUUCUCAGGUUGGGGCGCAGAUCUCUGCCAGUUAUAUGUGAGCUCUCCCAGGGGUGUAUUAGAUGCUGUUGGCUCAGGUGCGCCACCUAAUGCCAGGACUCCGCUAUCACCGCUGGCAUUUCUGAGCUCUGUGGUGUUGGUGGUGGUGGUGGGUUGAUAACAUUAAGAGGGGAAUUAGGAGCUAGUA